GACGAACGCUGGCGGCGUGCUUAACACAUGCAAGUCGAGCGGUAAGGCCCUUUCGGGGGUACACGAGCGGCGAACGGGUGAGUAACACGUGGGCGACCUGCCCUUAGCUCUGGGAUAAGCCUGGGAAACUGGGUCUAAUACCGGAUAUGACUCCAUGACGCAUGUUGUGGGGUGGAAAGCCUUGUGCGGCUAGGGAUGGGCCCGCGGCCUAUCAGCUUGUUGGUGGGGUGAUGGCCUACCAAGGCGACGACGGGUAGCCGGCCUGAGAGGGCGACCGGCCACACUGGGACUGAGACACGGCCCAGACUCCUACGGGAGGCAGCAGUGGGGAAUCUUGCGCAAUGGGCGAAAGCCUGACGCAGCGACGCCGCGUGAGGGAU
rnacentral:rRNA from 1 species